rnacentral:rRNA from 1 species
UUGGACGGUACUGUAAGAAAAGGGAGGGGCUAACUCCGUGCCAGCAGCCGCGGUAAUACUGAGGAUGCAAGCGUUAUCCGGAAUUAUUGGGUUUAAAGGGUCCGUAGGCGGGCUAAUAAGUCAGUGGUGAAAUUUUGGGGCUUAACUCUAAAACUGCCAUUGAUACUGUUAGUCUUGAAUUAUUGUGAAGUGGUUAGAAUGUGUAGUGUAGCGGUGAAAUGCUUAGAUAUUACAUAGAAUACCAAUUGCGAAGGCAGAUCACUAACAAUAUACUGACGCUGAUGGACGAAAGCGUGGGUAGCGAACAGGAUUAGAUACCCUGGUAGUCCACGCCGUAAACGAUGGUUACUAACUGUUUGGUUCAAUUGAGUAGUGAGUGGCCAAGCGAAAGUGAUAAGUAACCCCCCUGGGGAGUACAUUCGCAAGAGUGAAACUCAAAGGAAUUGAC